CCUGAUGACACUCCCUGUUCCUUGAUGGUAACCAUGGCUGCUGCCCUCAACGUGGUGGGUGUGGACUAUAGGAGCCCUCAGAAAUAAACUGAUAUCAAUAAUUAAUAUGGAUGGUGAUUGUGGCAAGGGUGCCUCCAUAAGGUGCCAUCCAGAAGCCCCAGCCUGGAGCCAGUGGCUGCUAUUGCAAGACUCAUGGGGGAUGAUCUGCAG